rnacentral:rRNA from 1 species
AGUGAACGCUGGCGGUAGGCCUAACACAUGCAAGUCGAACGGCAGCACAGUAAGAGCUUGCUCUUACGGGUGGCGAGUGGCGGACGGGUGAGGAAUACAUCGGAAUCUACUUUUUCGUGGGGGAUAACGUAGGGAAACUUACGCUACUACCGCAUACGACCUACGGGUGAAAGCAGGGGAUCUUCGGACCUUGCGCGAUUGAAUGAGCCGAUGUCGGAUUAGCUAGUUGGCGGGGUAAGGGCCCACCAAGGCGACGAUCCGUAGCUGGUCUGAGAGGAUGAUCAGCCACACUGGAACUGAGACACGGUCCAGACUCCUACGGGAGGCAGCAGUGGGGAAUAUUGGACAAUGGGCGCAAGCCUGAUCCAGCCAUACCGCGUGGGUGAAGAAGGCCUUCGGGUUGUAAAGCCCUUUUGUUGGGAAAGAAAAGCAGCAGGUUAAUACCCCGCUGUUCUGACGGUACCCAAAGAAUAAGCACCGGCUAACUUCGUG